rnacentral:rRNA from 1 species
AGAGUGAACGCUGGCGGCAGGCCUAACACAUGCAAGUCGAACGGCAGCGGGCAGUAGCAAUACUGUGCCGGCGAGUGGCGGACGGGUGAGGAAUACAUCGGAAUCUACCUUGUCGUGGGGGAUAACGUAGGGAAACUUACGCUAAUACCGCAUACGAACCAUGGUUGAAAGCGGCGGACCGCAAGGCGUCGCGCGAUUGGAUGAGCCGAUGUCCGAUUAGCUAGUUGGCGGGUAAAGGCCACCAAGGCGACGAGCGGUAGCCGGUCUGAGAGGAUGAUCAGCCACACUGGAACUGAGACACGGUCCAGACUCCUACGGGAGGCAGCAGUGGGGAAUAUUGGACAAUGGGGGCAACCCUGGAUCCAGCCAUGCCGCGUGUGUGAAGAAGGCCUUCGGUGUAAAGCACUUUGUUGGGAAGAAAGCACUGGUUAAUACCUUGGUGUCGAUGACGUACCCAAAGAAUAAGCACCGGCUAACUUCGUGCCAGCAAGCG